UUAAAAGAUAGUUUAUAAACACGGCUGUUUCUGGAGAUCUCUUUAAUGUUGUCUCCUUUGUCGUAAUUUUAACCUAACACAUCUUACAAAACAUAUCAACUGUAGGCUACAUCAUUAUUUACUGUAACGAACAAAUAUUUAGGCUACAUUUUUUAACUGGGGUGUUACAUAUAGGCUUAAGAUGGCCUGCUUUACUAUUAUUUUAAAUGUAGGCUAUGUUACUUAUAGUCUAUUUACAGCGUAAUUGUAACAGUCAUAGUCAUGGUACAAUCAUAGUUUGUAAUUUAGGCUAGCUAUAUGCAUAUUUUGUUUUUUCCUACAAAGGUAUCAAUUUUCACGGGAGUCGCGAUUCACUGAGCUUAAACAAACAAAAUGAACAAUCCUAACGAACAACCAAUUAUUGAAGCCAUGCAAUUGCUACGUUUUUAUUUGACAUACAGGCAAUGGUAAAGUGAUUCAGAGUGAUUCAUGCAUGGCUUGUAUUUGGUUUCAGAAGUUCCUUCAUUCAUCUUUUAUUAUUUACAUUAAUAAUUAUCACAGCAUAUCAGAGGCCAAAGUUAUUUUUGUUCACAGGUUGACAGCGAUCAGUGUCACUACAAACUCAACAAAGGAAAUGCUUGGUUUUGACAGAUGCAAGCGUGUCUCGACAAGAACAAAAUUGAUUAUUAUAAUGUAGAUUAUUUGAAUAAUUGAUUAUUCUAUAUCUUUUGUGUACACAGAUGCUGAAAGCUUUGUUAUUGGCACAUAAUGUAAGUGCAUUAUUUGAGGACAAUUUUGAAACAAAACAUACAGACAUUGCAAACAAUAUUAACCCCCCCCCCUGUUGGAAAAAUUGAAGAUGUAACUGUUAUCCUGUAA